rnacentral:rRNA from 1 species
AUUGAACGCUGGCGGCAGGCUUAACACAUGCAAGUCGAGCGGGGUGAUGGUGCUUGCACUAUCACUUAGCGGCGGACGGGUGAGUAAUGCUUAGGAAUCUGCCUAUUAGUGGGGGACAACAUUUCGAAAGGAAUGCUAAUACCGCAUACGUCCUACGGGAGAAAGCAGGGGAUCUUCGGACCUUGCGCUAAUAGAUGAGCCUAAGUCGGAUUAGCUAGUUGGUGGGGUAAAGGCCUACCAAGGCGACGAUCUGUAGCAGGUCUGAGAGGAUGAUCCGCCACACUGGGACUGCGACACGGCCCAGACUCCUACGGGAGGCAGCAGGGGGGAAUAUUGGACAAUGGGCGGAAGCCUGAUCCAGCCAUGCCGCGUGUGUGAAGAAGGCCUUAUGGUUGUAAAGCACUUUAAGCGAGGAGGAGGCUACUUUAGUUAAUACCUAGAGAUAGUGGACGUUACUCGCAGAAUAAGCACCGGCUAACUCUGUGCCAGCCGCCGCGGUAACAC